CUACGGGGUGCUGCAGUGGGGAAUAUUGCACAAUGGAGGAAACUCUGAUGCAGCAACGCCGCGUGGAGGAUGACACUUUUCGGAGCGUAAACUCCUUUUAUAUAGGAAGAAGAUGACGGUACUAUAUGAAUAAGCGCCGGCUAACUCCGUGCCAGCAGCCGCGGUAAUACGGAGGGCGCAAGCGUUACUCGGAAUCACUGGGCGUAAAGAGCAUGUAGGCGGAUUAAAAAGUCAGAAGUGAAAUCCUAUAGCUUAACUAUAGAACUGCUUCUGAAACUCUUAAUCUAGAAUAUGGGAGAGGUAGAUGGAAUUUCUGGUGUAGGGGUAAAAUCCGUAGAGAUCAGAAGGAAUACCGAUUGCGAAGGCGAUCUACUAGAACAUUAUUGACGCUGAGACGCGAAAGCGUGGGGAGCAAACAGGAUUAGAUACCCCUGUAGUC
rnacentral:rRNA from 1 species